AUCUACUUUAGGCCACUUCUAAAUGGAAAUUAGAGACUAACCUCUUCAACCAAUUCAGUGGGAAUAAGGAAAUGGAAUAAGAACUGUGGAAUUAUCAUUAAUAAGGAAGAGCAGAAUGACGCUUACAAGACCCCUAAUACUAGGACUGCUUUUUGCAUAGGUUACUGAUUUCAUUGUUCUAAUUUCUGAUAUUUUUCCUCUUUUGUCUGGCUAGGAUGAACAGACAGAACACGGAGGAGCUGAGGCAGUUGAAAACUAAAUCUACCUCCUUAUGUGUGUGCUGAAAUGACCCAGUGGGGACCCAUACCUGUUCUCAGCUUUGCUCCGGUCUACCCUAAUUAGCACUGGAUUGAUUCAGUGUCUGGUUGGCUUUUCACAGCAAGCGUCUUGCAGUCCUGCUCGGUGCUACACCCGCUCAGCCCAUAUCUGGGAAUGAGGACCCAGGCGGAGAAAUACCUGCCUUACAGCCUCUGUCAGGACUCAGAUCAGGUUGAAGCACCAUCAGUGUCAAAAAUACAGUUUUCUGAUGUAUUAACUUGAAGAUCUGAACAACAGAAUGUUGAUGAUAAUAUAUCUCACAAUGGCUUAUUGAGUCAAGUGCAAGAUAAUUUCAGGUAAUAAAUAUUCAAACCUCAUCUAAUUCUGGAUUGAG
rnacentral:lncRNA from 1 species